GGAUUAGAUACCCUGGUAGUCCACGCCCUAAACGAUGUACACUAGUUGUUGUGAGGCUCGACCUUGCAGUAAUGCAGUUAACACAUUAAGUGUACCGCCUGGGGAGUACGGUCGCAAGAUUAAAACUCAAAGGAAUAGACGGGGACCCGCACAAGCGGUGGAGCAUGUGGUUUAAUUCGACAUACGCGAAGAACCUUACCUGGACUUGACAUAGUAAGAAUAUUAAAGAGAUUUGAUAGUGUCUGCUUGCAGAAACUUGCAUACAGGUGCUGCACGGCUGUCGUCAGCUCGUGUCG
rnacentral:rRNA from 1 species